rnacentral:lncRNA from 1 species
GCCAACUCGUGCUUAGCUUGCCUACAACUCGCGCCUAGCUUGCAAGUGGCACACAAGUGGACAAGUUGUGCAAGUUGUCCACUUGCAUCCUCAAAAUAUCCCGCUGCAGGUCCAUAUAUUUUUCCUCCUAAAAUGGCUGGGUCGGGACUUAGAAAAACCCCAUUAACGCCCUGAAAAAUUGCACGAUCUAGGCAGCAUGCAUUCUGCCCCAAAGUCAUCUAUGCAUCCCCAGCCCGAAUCUACCUGCGACCCUUGCCGAAUCUGCUUGCGUCCCCUAUCGCAAGCUAUUCCGUCCUUUUGAAACGCGUUACCCGCGCCAUCUUGCGAUCGCUACCGGGACGAAUCGAAUGCGAUCGCGUGAGGCAUAAGUCACUCCCCCACUGAAUUUGACGAUGCACUCAUCGCCAUAUAUCGCUGAAGCAUAGACCUUAUUUGCCAUAAGUCUAUCUCGUUUUCCCACCUUGUGCCAUGACAUUCCCGUGUCAUGCCAAGUUUCAAGUCAUGACCUUGCGAUCCGUGACAUUCUCCCCCACUCAAUCCGCUAACGUCCUCGUAGCGAAACAUGUUAGGUGCAUCCUCAUGCAACCUUGCAUUGUCUUUCACGUCCCUGGGCAUUAAAGUUCUCCCAACUUGCGGCACCAUCUCCUCGAUGACCGGGUUUCCACAGUGCCCCUUGCACCUCUUCCCGUUGCAACCUCUUGCAUGCCACCUUCGACACCAACCUUCACCCUCAGCACCUCUGCCUUGGUUCCUCAGAUGGACAACUCCUCCGGUUGUAGUGUCCUCACACUUGUCGAAGCUUUGAACCUUCGUGCACCCAAUUUCGGACUUCUUUGACAAUGCUUCCUCACUUUCCUUCUUUUUCAAUAGUUCCCUCGGCAACUCCGCGAGCAUGUCCUUAUCAUCUUCAAGGACUUCCGCUAACUGCAUCCUUGACAGUUGUUGUGUUUCCAUCUCCACAGGAACAGUUUCAGCACUCAUAGCAUUAAACAACUGGAAUGAAUUCAUUCGAACUUCAUCCUCAUCUUGGCUAUCUAUGGCCUCCGGUUUGCUCUCCGAAAUGGAAAUAGAUGACAAUGAUCCCAACUUAGGACAAUCCCUCAUUCGAUGUGGUCCUUUGCAAAUAAAGCAACCUCGAGGUGUAAAAUUACUCCUCUUCCUCUCAUCAUACUGCUUACUCCAAGUAGUUGGUUUGUCGCUAACGGGUUUGUAAUCAACUUUGGGAUUUUGCCUCCAAUCUGGCUUACUCCAUUGUAUAGCUCUCCCUGUAUCUUCCUUGUUAUCCCCAAAAGUUCCUUUGGCGGGUUUGAUAGUUUGAGCUUCGGUCUCAAAACUUUCUUCAAACUCCGUCAAGGAUUCGGCUACUGCAAUUGCCUCAUCAACGGUUUUGACAUCAUGACGUUGCAACUCUUGUCGUAUCCAUGUUGCACAACCGUCUAGAAAAUAGAAUAGCAACUCAUCCUCCGGCAUGGUUGGGAUUUGAAGCAUAAGGGUCGUGAAUUCUUUGACAUAGUCACGAAUUGUUCCCAUAUGUUUCAAUUCCCUCAAUUUCUUGCGCGCCUCAUAGACGACAUUCUCCCGGGUAGAAUUGCCUCUUUAUUUCCCUUUUGAACUCAUCCCAAGUAUCAACCCUACAAGACCCCCUUGCAAUUUCACCAUGC